UGGAAGUUUUCUCCUUUCACCCCCAUCCUCCCCCUUCUCUUCCUGUCGUCCUCUAGGCCCCGUGUAGCCCCCUCUGUCUGGUGUUUAGCAACCACUGGUUCCUGUCUUCAUUUGGUUCUGGGCUCCUUCCCUGCUACUCAUCUCUCGUGCUGUUUGUCUGGCCCCUGGUGGCCAGGAUGUAUGGUUCCUGCCCUUCUGGGGAACCAGAAUUUAAGACACCUGAGUUUUAACACAUUAUUCACUCCUUUGCCAAAUUAGUGGCAAAAGCCUUGUGAGCCAGCAUGAAGGGAGGGGUUCUGGUUAAUCAAAGGUUCUGGUUGGCUGAGAGUUCUCCUACCUUCCCCCGCCCUCCUCCGGGACCCUCCCUGCUUCCCUUGCUGCCUCUGUCGCAGCCAUCCUGCCUCUGCGUGCAACCUGGACACGUCAAGUCCUCUCCUGCGCGGGAAACUCUGUGCUGGCUGUUCCCUGUGCCUGGACUGUCCUCUCAGACCUUCCCACCGCCGCCUCCUUCUCCUCCUUUCCGUCUUGGCCCAAUUGUCACCUCCUCCGAGAUGCCUUUCCUGACCAGCCUGCCCUUUUUUAUUCUGAUACCCCCUUUUGGGGAGCACUUAUCACUCUUGGAAAUGAUUUUAUCCACUGUCGAUCUGUGUCCUUGCUGGAAUGUAAGGGCACGAGGCCAGGGUCUCACCUGUUUCCCCCCUUGGGUCCCUAAUGCCGCACCCUCCCCGCGGCACCGUACCCCGUGCUGCCUUGUUCGCUUCAUGAGAUACAUCGGGUCAUGAUGUAUGGUCUCAGCCACCUGGGAUAGAGACCUCAGAUCAUUCUUCACGCCCAAGGCAUCAGUUCCUAAGUCUGGCUUAUUCUUCCUCCCCUCCCCUUCCCUCCUCCGUCCCAUCACCCCUGCCUUAGCGUGGGCUCUCGUCCAUCACGCAGUGGCUCCUAGCUGGGCCACCUGCCCCGUCCUUCCCUUCUCCAGCUCCAGCUAGGCUCUUGCACCCAUGCCAGUCGCUUCGUCUGCAACAUUCUUUUGUUCCCUCUUUGCCUGGUGUCUUGGUUUUAGGGAACAGCAGUCACUCUGGUAUUUUAAGCAGGAGGAGAUUUAAGACAGGACUUGGGAGCUCUGAAACUUAGGAGAGGGUCAGGCUGAGUCUCCAGGAUAAUCCCAGGAAACACAGCAGAACUGGUCCCAACUCUGCUGCCGUCAAGGAGGAGGAAAUCACAACGUUGCUGCUGGAACUACUACUUCAAGAAAAUGGCAUUUCAUCUGUGAUCCAGGGGUCAGAGGCCACUUCAGCUGCUAAAGUUGCCAGUUGACCCCCAAGAAGCUGGAGCCUGGACCCCAGAAUGUUCUUCCAGAAAGACCCAGCACCUCUGUGACCCUGCGAACCAGCAGAAAAUGUGCAGAGGCCACUGGAGAUGGCCUCCUCCCUCUGUUUGCCUUCCAAAUCAUGCAUGAGUGCAGCUGGUUGGUGGAACCGAAUUCAAACCUUGUAAAGGCGCCUGGGAAAUGUAGUUACUAAGUUUUCCAGCCUCUGCGUUUACAGCUCAGGCCACAGAAGGAGGUGGGAGCAGUUGCUGCGGGCCUAUCAGCCGUGUCUGCCACAGUAGCCAGCCCCGGCCCCCAGGGCCUUCAGGACCAGCUCAGGAAAGCCUUCCUGCCUGCUGCGCUGCAUAGGGCUGGGCUCCCUCUCAUAUGCCCUGGGGCAUCCUGUGCUUUUUCUCAGAGGCUCCAAGGGGAUAGCCAGUGCUGUCUUAGGAGCCCCGCAGCCCUUCUCCCCUCUCCUGAAGCAUUUCCUGCCUGGAUGGCCUUUCCGACAGUCCCACCUGCUAUUUUGAACUGCUUCCCAUCUGUGGGGCAUCUGCCUUCUCUCGGAGCCGCUCGCAGGCACACAUGGCUUUUACCUCUGGUCUCUCCAGAUGCCUGCUGGCUUGCAGUAAGUUCAUCCUUUCGGUUACAAAGAUUUUUAAGGAAGAGGUUUAAAAAAAAUCCUCAAUCUUUCAUGCAGCGGGCAGGAGGCCAUCUAGUGGAGAAGAGAGAUGAGCUUAAACUCCAGGAAGAUGAAAGGAGGGGACACUUUCCUGGGCAUCCGCCAAGGUGGCCUGGGCAGCAGCCAGAGCAACAAGAGCCCUGACUUGUGUCCUCCGCUGAACAUAACUGGACACUGGGUUGUGGCUGCGACCCAGAGGUGAGAGCUGAGCACAGGGCACACUCGACAUCAGCCCGUUAGUGCUCAGAACAAACAAGGACCCAGGAACCCCCCCACCCCCACCCCGCGUGUUUUCUUCUUGGGAAGAGCCACGGCCCCCACCUGCCUCCCUGGCCAUCCCUGCUGGCCCUGCUGGCUCUCGGCUGGAGUAGAGAAGCGCCUGCUUCCCUCUGGAGACUCGCUGA
rnacentral:lncRNA from 1 species